rnacentral:rRNA from 1 species
GACGAACGCUGGCGGCGUGCCUAAUACAUGCAAGUAGAACGCUGAAGGAGGAGCUUGCUUCUCUGGAUGAGUUGCGAACGGGUGAGUAACGCGUAGGUAACCUGCCUGGUAGCGGGGGAUAACUAUUGGAAACGAUAGCUAAUACCGCAUAAUAGCAGUUGUUGCAUGACAACUGUUUGAAAGGUGCAAUUGCACCACUACCAGAUGGACCUGCGUUGUAUUAGCUAGUUGGUGGGGUAACGGCUCACCAAGGCGACGAUACAUAGCCGACCUGAGAGGGUGAUCGGCCACACUGGGGCUGAGACACGGCCCAGACUCCUACGGGAGGCAGCAGUAGGGAAUCUUCGGCAAUGGACGGAAGUCUGACCGAGCAACGCCGCGUGAGUGAAGAAGGUUUUCGGAUCGUAAAGCUCUGUUGUAAGAGAAGAACGAGUGUGAGAGUGGAAAGUUCACACUGUGACGGUAUCUUACCAGAAAGGGACGGCUAACUACGUG